rnacentral:ncRNA from 1 species
GCAGAGUAAAGGAAUGUGCGUCAAGUGCCGGUUUGACGGGGAGUUGCAAACCGGACGAAAAACCCAUGGUUUGCGGUACAUUUCUUGCAUCCCGCUGC